AUAACUAAGUAAACAGAUUAAGAUAAGUCGUAUCAAUAUCCGUAUUAUAAAGUCGUGUCCCAUUAAUCGUUUUCUGAUGUAUGUGGUAUAACGUAGCGAUAGAUUUAAAUUGUUCAGAAAAAGUUCUUUCACCAUCGGUAGGUAGUUUGAUCUAUUUAUGUGUAAGUCGUGCUCGCUUAAUCGUUUUGUAAUGUGUGCAGUAUAACGACAUUAAAUAUUGUAGAUACCUACAGUGAAAGUGUAUUUGAUGACUUCCUCUUGUACAAUUUACUUCAUGAAGGUAAUACUUUGGCUGAAUCGUAGUUGAUGGAGGGCAGAAGAAAUUCGGAAUGCUAGAAAAGUACUGCAUGAAUAUUAUAACAAAACUAUAUAAUGACAUUAUAAGGCAAAUUUGACAUUCGGAAAUGACACACUUGUAGCAUCGUUGCAUUUUAUGAUUAAAUGGAAAUUACCAAACUUCAGAAAUAUG